AGAAAAUGGGUUUCGGCGAUUAUCCAGCGGAGUACGACCCUAAAGUCCACGGGCCGUACGACCCUGCACGUUUUUAUGGCAAAGGUGAUAAGAAAUUUGCGCC
rfam:Tribolium castaneum strain Georgia GA2 linkage group LG8, whole genome shotgun sequence.